CAUAUCCUGCAGAAAAUUCAUUCUUCUAACUGAACAGUUCAAAUGAGCAUUGGAUUAAAUGGUGCUCAUCUUGUGCAGUCUUCGCCAAAAUUCGGGAUUCCUAUAGUCAUUGUCUGCUUGCCAAAGAGAGAUUGUCCACUCCAUGGGACUGUCAAAGAAAAUGGAGGUUCUGUAAUAUAAAGACUCGGUUCCUUGGAAGGCUAUGAAGUGAGUCAACGUUUGCAUUCUGAAGAGACAAUAAAAUACAGAAUCCUG